AGGGAUAUAGCUCAGUUGGUAGAGUGUUUGCCUGGCAUGCAUAAGGCCCGGGGUUCAAUCUCCAGCAUCACAU
rnacentral:tRNA from 1 species